UCUCCGUUGGUGAACCAGCGGAGGGAUCAUUACAGGACUCGCAAGACUCCUACAACCCUGUGAACUUAACUAUAAGCACGUUGCUUCGGCGGGUGUCUCGGAGGGGGUUCUCCCUCCCCGAGACGCUAAACCCGCCGGCAGCCUACUAUACUCUGUCUCUUUGCGUUGGCAUCUCGAGUACAAUCAAACAAGUUAAAACUUUCAACAACGGAUCUCUCGGUUCUG
rnacentral:misc_RNA from 1 species